rnacentral:rRNA from 1 species
UACGUAGGGUGCGAGCGUUACUCGGAAUUACUGGGCGUAAAGCGUGCGCAGGCGGUUCGUUAUGUCCGUUGUGAAAGCCCCGGGCUAAACCUGGGAAUGGCAAUGGAAACUGGCGAGCUAGAGUGUGGCAGAGGGGGGUGGAAUUCCGCGUGUAGCAGUGAAAUGCGUAGAGAUGCGGAGGAACACCGAUGGCGAAGGCAGCCCCCUGGGCUAGCACUGACGCUCAGGCACGAAAGCGUGGGGAGCAAACAGG